rnacentral:ncRNA from 1 species
AAAUGUUUGCGGGGGGACUCGAGAGAGUUGAGAAGGUAGAACCUGACCCUUUGAACCUGUCAGUUAACACUGGCGCAGGGAAGCAUGCUGAAAAACAAC